rnacentral:rRNA from 1 species
CAGUCGCCGCGGGAAUACGAAGGGUGCAAGCGUUAAUCGGAAUUACUGGGCGUAAAGCGUGCGUAGGCGGUGAGUUAAGUCUGCUGUGAAAUCCCCGGGCUCAACCUGGGAAUGGCAGUGGAUACUGGCUCGCUAGAGUGUGUCAGAGGAUGGUGGAAUUCCCGGCGUAGCGGUGAAAUGCGUAGAUAUGCGGAGGAACACCGAUGGCGAAGGCAGCCCCCUGGGCCAACACUGACGCUCAUGCACGAAAGCGUGGGGAGCAAACAGGAUUAGAUACCCCGGUAGUCCCUGUCUCUUAUAC